GAGAGAGAGAGAAUGAUCAGCUAUCUGGGUGAAGUGACCCUUGAAAUUCAAAAACAGGAUUAUGAAGUUAUAGUGGCAGGCUUAGCUUUGUGCCUCCUCCCUCAUCCCAAAAUAAGACAAUCUAAAUUCUAUGAGGUCUACAGCAAUUCACUAAACCUCUAUGUCAGUAGGGAAAAAUGAGAGAUUUGGAUAAACCAUAUUCUAAUGUCUUCCACCUAUUUUAAACCCUUUGUGCCUCCUUCUAAAGUGUUAUUGCAUGGCUUAGUGACUCUACAGGGGUUCAGGAGAUGAGGCAGGUGUGAGGCAAAUACAAAUCUCUGACCUUUGAGGAGCUUUUAGGUCAACUACGACAUUAAUGAGCACUCUAUGUAAUCAAAUAGUGUUACCACCACUCCCCAUGGCUGCCUAGAAUGGACAAGAGAAAGGUGUGCAGCAUAUUGGCCUAUCUGCCUUGAUUUGUCUUCAGUAAGACAAGAUGCUACAGCACUGGAGAGCUUGUGGGCUUCUUUAAACUCUAAGGUUCUGUGAUGUUAUUCUCCAUGGUUCUUAUUUAAAAGAAAGUAGAAAGAUUCAUUGGUAAAAUGUUUUCCCAUGUCCAACACCUCUCAAUAGAGCACUGUCCUUAAGUAACUUCACUUUGCUAAUGAAGGAAGUCCACCUGAGUUUGAUCUGCAGUGUUCAUGAUAAAGACUCUUCUGCUCUGUUAAAGUGAUAGAAUCUCAUGGGACAGAAGCUGGAUACGCUCAUGAACCCUUGCAGGCUCCUUACUAGAGAAGGGAUAUAUUAAUUCCUGGCAUUUCAGAGGAAACUUGGUGGGAGGGAUGAAUAGCCUGCCCUGUGUGAGGAUUUUGGGUGAAACAGCUUCCUGGUAAUUUUUUCAAAAAGAUACUGCAUUGUUGCUUUUUGCUGUUUUGUUUGUUUAUUUGUUUUGUUUAGUUGUUUGUGUCUUUGUUUUUCUUAACCUCAAAAUGAUGAAAUUUAUCUCCUCCAAAACUUAAACUCUGCUACAAAGCAACUGACUCUACUUUUUUAAACUUACAGUAUUCUCAAAUGAGGGAUGAAGUAUUCAAGUCAAACUUGGUCUGUGCAUUUAUCGUUCUUCUGUUUAUCACUGCAAUUCAAAGUUUGCUUCCUUCUUCAAGGUAAGUACAAAAGGACUAAGAUAGCAGCUGAAAACAUCUCUGUGAAGUGAUGAGCCCUUACCUGGAGCCAUCCAUCUGACCUGUCAAAGGUUGAGAGUUUAACAUGACUGGGUCCACAACGUAGACCCAGGUGCUUAACAAUUCUGUGUCUACUUGGAUUGCCUUAUUAUGCAUAAUAUAACACUCUGCCUAAGCUAAAAUCUUUCCCAAUAUUAAUAAAAUAAUAGCCAAACUGGAAUAGUCUGUGUUGCCAUUGAACAUUGCACCCAUGAUUUCAGAAAGCAUUAAAUUAUAAGAGUCUCAAUCCUUUGAUUGUUUGUUCACAUGAUUACUUCACACUUCACUUCUAGGUCAGCAAAUUUGAAAGUCAACACUACAAACACAUGUUGACCAGUCACUUAAAAACACUUUAACUAUAAAAACUCAAAAACUCACUGUGAUGAGCUCGAGAGAGGCUUGAGGCUCAGAGUGCUGAAAUGGGUUUCUUAUUUGAAAUAUUAUAGCUUUAGUUCAAACACAGAAUGUCUAGUUCCAGAGCAAGUAUUCCCAACAAAGGCUAUGGCAGGAACUAUACAAGGCAAGCCUUGUGACGAUGAUAUUGUUUGUCUAUUGAUUUGUUUUAAAGACAUCUAGAAAAUUGGAAAAGCAUCUUUCUAGGUGUGUCUGCGAGAAUAUUUCCUGAGAUGACUGGCAUGUGGGUUGGCAGACUGACUAGAGAAAAUUCACGAUGAAUAUAAGCCACACCAUCUAAUAGACAAUACUGUGACCCACAUCAAAUGAAAAGCAGAAAGAGCCAACUCAUAUUACCAUACCUUUGAUUGUUGUAGAGUGGUGUGUUUAUUCCUGAUGCUAUGGAUCUUAGACCCCAGAUUCUCUAGUCUUUGAACAUGAACUUGAACUUUUUAGGGUAUCCCAGGCUAACCCCUAUCCAGGACUGCACCAUUGAUUCCUAUUAUUCUGAACAGUUCAUUGGUUAAGCAGAUAAGGGUUACUCUGGUUUUCCAAUACAUAAAGAGCCACUGUGGGACAGUCCACCCUUGCUUAUUGUCUGAGUUAGGGUUUCCAUUGCUGUGAAUAGACACCAUGACCAAGGCAAAUAUUAUAAGGGAAAGCAUUUAAUUAGGGAUGACUUACAGUUUCAGAGGUUUAGUCCAUUAUCAUCGUGGCAGGAAGCAUGGCAGCAUCCAAACAGACACAGUGCUGGAGGAUCCAAGAGUUCUACAUCUUGAUUGGAAGGCAGCCAGCAGGCAACUGACCAGGAGGAGGGUCUCUCUUCAGCAUUGGGUGCAGCCUGAGCAUAGGAGGAGACCUCCAGAGUCUACCUCCACAGUGACACACGUUCUCCAACAAGGCCUCCAAUACAACAACUUCCUCUAAUAAGGACACACCUCCUAAUAGUGUCACUUCCCAUGAGCCAAGCAUAUUCAAACCACCACACCUACUGUAAGGCAAUCUAAUGAAACUCCUAUUAUAAUCACAUAUUUUUUCUCUCUUCUUCUGGAGAACCCUGACUGAUAAAUAAGACUGGAAUACUUUGCUCU
rnacentral:lncRNA from 1 species